rnacentral:misc_RNA from 1 species
GGUCGAACAACAAUAGGAACUAACCA